GAUGCCACUCUCCUUUCUUCAAACAUGUUUUAGAUCCUAGUACUUUUUGUUUGUGCAAGUGAGCAAUUCACAUUGUGCUAAAAUGAGUGUGCAGUGACACGCCUCAAAAAAGUAGAGCUUCCUCUUGUAUAAGAGAGGUACAGGCUAGAAUUAGGACUUGGGUCUCCUGACUCCAAUUUUGUUUCCUCUGAAAGGCCAAACAAAUUUCAGAUUUUGGACUUCUGGAUAUCCAAAUUUAAGAAUGCCCAGCAGCUAAAAAUCUAUGCAAGUUCUCAAAGUCUGUAACACUUGUGGUCCAAGCACUUUGCAUAUGGGGCGCUUGACCAGAAUUGCAGCCUUACAUAACUAAAAAUUUUUGUAAAUAUCAGUAAAUGUACCAUUGACAAAAACAAAAAGAUUAGUAAUGACACCUUCAGAGUCAUUCUGUUCUGAUUGUAAGAUGACAAGCAAGUGGUGUGCUAGUAAGUCCUUUAGGGACACACAGUUAUGACAAGAGAUGGUGAUUCAGGUCGAGGCUUUAAAAAAAAAUCUAUAGGGCUUGUUCAGUUUAGGAUUGAGGCCUUGGGAGUUUGGAACACUGGAGAUUUUUGACCAUGCAUAGGGCAACUUAGUCAGAUGCUAAAACUAAAGCCAGCAGCUUGAGAGAUGAGUAAGAAAUUAUCAAAUUCAUUUGAAAGAAAAGAGAGAAUUAGGUGCAGGGUGAAUGAAUUAAAACAAGUUUAAACCUGGCUGGUGGUGCAUACCCUAAAUCCCAGCACUCUGAGGCAGAAACAUUUGGAGCUCUGUGAGUUCAAGGCCAACCAGGUCUACUUAUUGAAUUCCAGGGCAUAAUGAAUUUGAGACAGGGCAGACCCUGUCUCAAAAAUAACACAAACAAAACCACCUGGUUUAAGGCUGCAAAUACAGCUCUGUGGUAGAGUGUGUCCAAAGUUUGACGCCCAACACCAGAGGAAAGAGACAAGAGGAAGAAGGAAACGUUGAUCUGAUUAGAGAAGAAAAACUGAGAAAGUCACCUAAAGAAAAGAAAAGAAACUCAAGUCAAGGAAUCUUUUGAAGAAAAACGACAGUUUUACUCCAAGUGGACCAUGUACUUUAAAGCCAAACAGUCAGCAAGUACUGCUUGAACACAGUUAUGCUUUUAGGAACCCUAUGGAGGC